UUGCCUUCCUUCCACUUGCCCGCCUGUCACCUCUGAGCCCUGCACGGUCACCAGGCCUGCGCAGGCCGCAGUGUGGGCUAGAGUCUCCCAAGCCACCCCUGCCACAGCCCCGCCACGCUGUCCUCUCCGAGUGACAUACUGAGGAUCCGCAGGGGUGUCCUCCGGUACCAGGGAAGUGCUUGUAGCUCCAUCUCAGCCCCAGGUAAAGUUCCUCCUCCGAGCCCGGGGGGCGGGGGAGCGGCCUGAAGCUUCCAGGGAGGCUGGGCUUCGUCAUCAGAACUUCACACACAGGGAUUAUGACAUCGUUGAGCUCCGAGGACCCGGUUGGUUGCCAUGGUUCUCUGAAAGGCACAGGCACCCCACCCAGCUCCCUCAAUGCCUCCGAGUGUCCGAAGUAUCCCCGGAGCCUCUGCGUGGAGGUGCCUCACACCCUAGCUCUUUGGCCAGCUUCCUGGUACAGCUUGUGGCCCGGUAGUAAAGAACAUAGCUGCAGACUCACAGGAUGCAGAGGUCUGUUUGGCAUUAACUGAGGGGACUUCCAAGGCCAGAGGGAGGAAGAGGAAGGCGGCCACCACCCAGAAUAGCUCAACUUUACACAAAUGGAGUCAGGUACACAAAUGGAGCCUGGUUGCCUAUCACCCCACUGCCCUCCGGGGAGAGUGGGCCUGCCUUUUACUUUGUUUGUUUUGUUUUAUUUGAGACAAGGUCUAGCUAUGUAGUUCAGGCUGGCCUUGAACUCACCAUGUAGCCCAAGCUGGCGUGGAACUCUUGGUGAUCCUCCUACCUCAGCCUCCCCAGUGCUGGAAUGACAGAUGUGCACCUCCACGCCCAGGUCUGAAGCAUUUUUGUUGUGGAUUUUUUUUAUUUUUGGUUUCCCUGACUUUUCGUGCCGUG
rnacentral:lncRNA from 1 species